rnacentral:rRNA from 1 species
UACGAAGGGGGCUAGCGUUGCUCGGAAUCACUGGGCGUAAAGCGCACGUAGGCGGCUUUUUAAGUCAGAGGUGAAAUCCUGGAGCUCAACUCCAGAACUGCCUUUGAUACUGGAGAGCUUGAGUCCGGGAGAGGUGAGUGGAACUGCGAGUGUAGAGGUGAAAUUCGUAGAUAUUCGGAAGAACACCAGUGGCGAAGGCGGCUCACUGGCCCGGUACUGACGCUGAUGUGCGAAAGCGUGGGGAGCAAACAGG